rnacentral:misc_RNA from 1 species
UGUGGGAGCGAGCCUGCUCGCGAUGGCGGCAGGCCAUUCCCCCCUAUUUGGCUGACACACCGCUAUCGCGAGCAGGCUCGCUCCCACA